rnacentral:rRNA from 1 species
UAGAUACCCAGGUAGUCCACGCCGUAAACGGUGGGCACUAGGUGUGGGCGACAUUCCACGUCGUCCGUGCCGCAGCUAACGCAUUAAGUGCCCCGCCUGGGGAGUACGGCCGCAAGGCUAAACUCAAAGGAUUGACGGGGGCCCGCACAAGCGGCGGAGCAUGUGGCUUAAUUCGACGCAACGCGAAGAACCUUACCAAGGCUUGACAUACACCGGAAACGUCCAGAGAUGGGCGCCCCCUUGUGGUCGGUGUACAGGUGGUGCAUGGCUGUCGUCAGCUCGUGUCGUGAGAUGUUGGGUUAAGUCCCGCAACGAGCGCAACCCUUGUCCCGUGUUGCCAGCAGGCCCUUGUGGUGCUGGGGACUCACGGGGAGACCGCCGGGGUCAACUCGGAGGAAGGUGGGGACGACGUCAAGUCAUCAUGCCCCUUAUGUCUUGGGCUGCACACGUGCUACAAUGGCCGGUACAAUGAGCUGCGAUACCGCGAGGUGGAGCGAAUCUCAAAAAGCCGGUCUCAGUUCGGAUUGGGGU